GCCGGCGGAGUAGGUGCUCAAUUAUAUAUUAUCCAAUUGUCUCAGCCUUUUAUAUUAAGAAUCGUCAUUGUUAAUCCGACUUAUCGUUUUAAGAUCGUGACGACUACACCUAAAAAAAAGUCAGCGACUCCCAACGAAAAUAUUAAUCACUCCCCGACCUUCCUUCCUCUGGAACCUAUUCCUUCCGCCCAAAUUCUAUGUAAGCCCCAAGCUUUCCCGAAACCCCAAAUCACCGUUUUUUUUGGAUGGUAGGAAAAUCAAAUUCUGUCUUCCAACUCCCAGAUUGCCCCGGGAACAGCCGGAAUCAAAACGAAAGAUGGUAGGAAAAUCAAAGGUAUUUAUUUAGCUUCAAUUACAUCCGUAAAUAUCACAGUUGGUUAGUUUGGUUUCAAAUUAGCCUAAAUUGGUGUCUUUUUGGAGUUUUGCAGGGAAUUAGGGGCAGUAGUAAAUUGCUUCGUUGUUGCUUUUGUGGUGAAGAAGAAGAUCGCAUCAGUGAGCUGCCAGAUGAAAUAGUAAUGGUUUGUUUCUCAUUCUUGACAUUGGAGGAAACAGCUAUAACUAGCAUCCUCUCAACUCGAUGGAGGUACUUGUGGGCAUCCAUUCCCCGUCUUGUCUUUAGUCCCUCUUUCUUCCGAAAGAGGUCACCCACCUAUCCCUUGCAAGCUAAACCUACGUCCUGUUUUAAGGUUAAAGGGAAAUAAAUGAAAAAGAAAUAAUGAAAAUGGAGUUAGAUGUAUUGGUUAAUCAUUUGAUUAUUUUACAUGAACGAUAAAUGUUGGGUAAUUAAUUUUAUUUGUUUAUAUAUUUAGGUGUUGAGACAAAAUUAUUUCAAAAAGAACUAAAACACUUAAUGAUAUUCCAUCACAUAACGUUUAACCGGGUGCAUAUUUUUACCGAAGUGUCCGCCUUAAAUUUAUAUUGUAUUUUGGAUGGUCUACGCUUUAUAUGUGGAUGUUCUACGCUUUAUAUUCGAAUGUUCUACACUUUUGUAGCUAUUUCAUGUAAUUUUGGAUUAUUUGAUCAUAUCAAGAAAGUUUCAAUAUUUUAUCGAAAAAAUAUUAAUCUCUCAAAAUAAAAAAAUAUAAUUAAUUUUUUUNNNNNNNNNNNNNNNNNNNNNNNNNNNNNNNNNNNNNNNNNNNNNNNNNNNNNNNNNNNNNNNNNNCAUUCAAAUAUAUGUUAUGAAAACAAUCAAUAAGAGCAAAUUUAGUUUUAUAAAAAAAUAAGUAUUAUAGAAAAAUAUUUAUGUCUCUUAAUUAUGAAAUUAGUGUCAAAUUCUUUUGUCUCUAAGAACUAGUUUAAAUGACAAAUAAUUAUCAUGUAAAAGGGUAAUGAACAACCAAAAAAAUAGUCUUUGUUUGAUUAUUUAGAGGCAGAUGUUAACAUUUGUCUCCAAAGACAUUUUGCGAUAAAAAUAUUGGAUAUCAUAAAAUAUUUGCCUCCGUAAACUUAUAAAGGGUAAUCAAUAUCAUUUUGAUACAAAUAAUCAUUGCCUCAAAAACUAAUUUUUGUUGUAGUGAGAAGGUUGUUGUCACUUUCACCGCCGGCGAUGCCUCAACUAGGCGUUGUUUGUCUCCAGAACCCAAAAGGAUGAGCCUAACCGAACUAGAGAAAAGGAGGAGAUGAAAGGGCGGUGGUCAUCGUCGAGCUGGAUUCGUUGGUUCACUUGCGUCGAGCUGGAUUCCUUGGUCCACCUGGAAGUAGACAUUGAUUGUUAUUGCUUGUUGUGCAAUUCAUAAUUUCAUCAAGAUACAUGGUUUGAAAGAUAAUUUGUUAUGAAUUUAAAGAUUGUGCUCUAAAACAAGUAAUUGUUGAGAAAGUGACACUAUAUUAUUCCUCAAGUACGAAAAAUGGAAAGAAGAAAAUUCUGAGUUAAAUAUGAUUUCAGUUUUGGUUUUCGGUUUAUUAAAUUUUCAAAGAUUAUCAACUAAACAAGUUUCUACUUUUA
rnacentral:lncRNA from 1 species